ACGAACGCUGGCGGCGCGCUUAACACAUGCAAGUCGAACGGAAAGGCCUGCUUUCCCUUGUGGAUUGCGGGUACUCGAGUGGCGAACGGGUGAGUAACACGUGAGUGAUCUGCCCCCAACUUGGGUAUAAGCCUGGGAAACUGGGUCUAAUUCCCGAUAGGACUGCAGGGUGGUGCCUGUGGUGGAAAACGAUUUUCUAGUGGUUGGGGAUGAGCUCGCGGCCUAUCAGCUUGUUGGUGGGGUAAUGGCCUACCAAGGCGGCGACGGGUAGCCGGCCUGAGAGGGUGGACGGCCACAUUGGGACUGAGAUACGGCCCAGACUCCUACGGGAGGCAGCAGUGGGGAAUAUUGCACAAUGGGCGGAAGCCUGAUGCAGCGACGCCGCGUGGGGGAUGACGGCCUUCGGGUUGUAAACUCCUUUCGACCGCGAGGAAGCCACCUGGUUGGAAGGGUGGUGACGGUAGUGGGAGAAGAAGCACCGGCUAACUACGUG
rnacentral:rRNA from 1 species